UUUCAGAUGUAUCCAGUAACAGCUUCAUUUUGUGAAUCAUGCGACGAACUCGUGUAGUCAGACUGCCUUCAGGAUGUAUUCGUGGUGGGGUUUAGACUUUGGAGAGGAGAAAAAGUCCAGGAUCAGCUGUGUCGGCCCAGGACACGCCUUGACUUUGCAGCAGUGUUAAAUCCAAAUGCACCUGCAUUUUUUUCAAAUGUUCAGAUAGAUACGAUCACAUUCCUUAGACAGAUUAUUCUAUAAGUUUAUUUCAUUACAGUUCAUACCUGCCUUAUUUUUAUAAAAGCUGUAUUCAGCAAUUUAGCAAUAGUUUACUUACUCUUUCAGUGAUGACGUCUGGAAUUAACAGGGCAGUAUUAGUCGGUGUGCUUUUGCAUACAGAAAUGGCGUAAUCUUCUCUUGUCAGACCGAAUGGUCUACUCGACAAGUAUUCUCCAUACGUCUUCCCCAACAUUUAACCACGUUACAGAAUAUGACACGUAUUUAUAAAUAUUUCCCAAAUUAUUUGCGUAGUGUAUUCUGUGGUUUUGUGUUUUGGGAUUUCCCUUCUUUCGGAAAUGUCCGUCACGGCACUGCUUUUGCCUUUGCAAAGUUUUCGUAUCAACAUGGUAUUAUUUUGAUGGUAAUUUGAUAAACAUGAUGUUGACAUCAAGUCAUUUAGGGUUUGAACACUAAAACGCAUUCCUUGUAAUUGUUCUAGACUUUUUAUAUUUUUACAAGUUUAAUAAAUAUGUUUCUAUAAUU